rnacentral:lncRNA from 1 species
CUCUUAAGCUCAGCAGCCCUGAGGUGUGGUAGCCUCACGCUGACCCAUACAGAAUGCAACAGAACUGUCCCUGCUGCAGAAGUCUCAGGGUUCUGCCCCAACUGCAUAGACUUCUUUCAUGGAACCGGCUCCUCUAUCCCCACAAGGCUUCUCCCCAGCACAGCUUCUACCUAGAAUCAGACGGAGAGCUUUAGACCAGAGAGAAAACGGAGGCGUGGUGACACCAAGUGACAUGCUCCAAGCCGCUGAACAUGUUGGUGGCAGAGCUAGAACUCGACACCAAGUCUCCUGGCUUUAGUCCACUGUGGCUCUCAAUCCUCGCACACGCAGAGCACAGACCGUUUUUGAUGGUGCUGCAGGGAACAAGGCCCCACCAGUGUGUGCUCUUCCUGUGUGUCCAAAUUUCCACCAAAGAGGGCUCCUCCCAGGAGAUUGGCUGCCGAACCUGUUCUUCCACGGCAGAAGCGGCGCAGCUAGCCCAGCACGACUCUGCUUAUUGUUACGCUUCUGCCACAUGUGUGUAAAUUUGUAAGGAACUUGCCGCUCCUGGCUGAAGACCCAGG